rnacentral:lncRNA from 12 species
GGAAAAUCCCUUUCCAGUAAUAUUGUAAUUCAGAUUUUAUUAACCACAAUUAUGUAUUAAACACCUGUAAUGCUGAUUUACUCAAAAAGUCAGUCAGGUGCUUCUCAGAGCUGUGAUUAACGUUUGGGCCCUAAAAUUAAGUCUUUGCUUGGAUUAUUGCCACAGCUCUCCUCGUUGUGUGCUGUGUUUCCAUCUUGGCAUCCAACACUUGCAGACAGGCCCAGCACAGAGAACAAAGCUGGUUGUUUCCAUCUUGGCAUCCAACACUUGCAGACAGACCCAGCGCAGAGAACAAAGCUGGUUUGGGGCAGGAUUUCUUGUAUUUUCUAUAUUUGUUUUCAGAUUAUUGCCACAGCUCUCCUCGUUGUGUGCUGUGUUUCCAUCUUGGCAUCCAACACUUGCAGACAGGCCCAGCACAGAGAACAAAGCUGGUUGUGGUUUUUAAUUAAGUGAACGGUGCGUGCACGUGUUGGUAAAUUUUAUUUUUUCUGCUUUCAAGGUUUUGACUUGUGGAGGUGGAAUGUGGUCCUGCUUUGCUUCCAUCCCACUUGGAGCAGGUUAAUGCUCCAGAGGCCUCCCUGCUUAGAUCUCCCUCUGCUCCCAAAGCCCUGCCCCUGGUGUGAGGUGAUGGAUGCCUGGAAAUGAACUGUGGGGGGAUUUAUUCCUGGAGAGGAGAUAAAAAUAACUCAGCCUGUUUCUCUUUGCCCUGAAACGUUGGACAUUCAGUGAAUUAUGAGCAGCCAGUAUGUCUUGUUCUCCAGAGGGUCAGGUAGGGAAAAGGGUUUGGAACUUGGCAAGAUAAGCCUUCCCUAGAAACUGGGGUGGACUUAGACAUCCAGAAAUAACCCAGAGUUCUCAAAGUCUGGGGGGACUGUCCUGUGAUUUAGGGAAAAAAAAAAAAAUCCCCUAGGACAUGAAAUCCAAACAAAAACAACAACAACAACAACAACAACAACAACAACAACAACAACAAAAAGCAGCACUUUUGCAGAGCAGCUAAAUUGGGAAGCAAAGAGAAAGUGCCAGGAAGGGCCAUUGGAGAAUAGUGGCACUGGAAUGAAAGAGAUAACUGGGGAGGCAGGGAAUUUCCCCAGGCAGGGUUUGGCUGAGUGCCUGCCCCAGUAAAGCACUUUUUGACAUUAAGGCAACAGCAGAGAGAAGCUGGGACUUUCAAAGGCAGUUUAUCUCCAGUGGUUCCAGUCUUAUUUUCUAAU